UAAACCAUGCUAAUACAAUUCCACUAAUGCCAACAUAGUUUUCUAGUGUAUUUAAAAGAAUGUUGUUGUGUCAAACACAGCACUAUAAGAUCAAGUAACACUAAUACCAUUGCCAUUGUUGUCCAGACUGUUUCUAAUUCUGAUUUCUGCCCCAUUUAGUCUUGUAGGAACAGCGUCUAAUGUGUUUGUAAUAACCACUGAAAACACUUUGUGUCUUUUCUGUAAGUUCAGUCUCCACCAGGGAUUGACCUCUGCUGAAGUGUGGGUACAAGAUCCACGCCGAAAACACAAUUUCUGUUCCCAUCAAUGGCAUUGGAUGCAAAGCCAUUAAGUUCAGUCUCCACCAGGGAUUGACCUCUUCUGAAGUGUGGGUACAAGAUGCAUGACUGUAAACACCAUCUCUGUUCCCA